CUCAUUCUUGUAACAUGCAAGUCUUUUUUCACUGAUUGUUAGAGCUUAAUAUUGUCAAGUUAUUUCAAUGAAAAUGUGCUAAAGAAGUAUUUCACUAGUAAUAGAAACAAACGUCUUGAACAACGCACUUUGAUUUCGGUUAUUCGACUGGAGCUAACUGUGGCUCACUGUGGAUUAGGGAAUCUUUUAUGAAAGAAUCUUUAAUUAUAGUUCCUUUGGUUUGGAUGCUUGGUCACCCAUACUGGUUUUCUGCAAGAGUUUUGCAUGUGCCUUAA
rnacentral:lncRNA from 1 species